UAUACCUGAACACCACACGGUCUCUGCCACUUUACUGCUACUACUUCAUCAUGUUGAAGUCGGUUGCAUUGCUCCUCCUGCUGGCAGGUGUGGUCCACACUGCAUCCCCUGUGUGCACUGUGACUGGCUCCACCGUCAUCGAUUUCUUCAACAGAAUCCAGUCGGUCCCGGAUCGCUGUACAUACACACU